CUUUGAGCUACUCACAGAUUUCCUCGUUAAUCUCAACACGAGAAACAAAGACCACCUUGGCAGUCUGUCAACGUGUACAGGAGAGUUCAAAGAGAAAAGACUGAUGGGUGAGUAGGUGUGGAAUAAUUAACAAAUGUAUUAUUUAUUUCUGCUGUUUUACGCCGUUGAAUUUGUACGUUUGUAUUGAGGCUACAUUAAAUAACUAGUUAAUUAAAUUAAAUAAACAUCCAAUUUUCAACUGGGGUCACAUUUAUAAUUUAUUUGGAGAGAGACUAUUAUUAUAUUUACUAAACAUAUUGUACACACAAAUAAGAAUAAAGCGUAUGCUGUAAAGUUAUAUUGUUUAUGUGCAAUUUGAAUUUGCUCCCUUCACACACAGCUGUGGCAAUUAGUGUGUAAGCUAGCUAGAGAUACAUCCCCUAAUGCUUAUUUCCCAUCUUGAUUAAUGAUUUGCAGCUGCGUUCGCUGUCGUUUCUAAUAUUGGAUGAAUGACAUAAACAAGGCUUUUUUUAGUAGACCAUUAUACUAAUUUUGCAAUAGUUUUAAUAAUGUUGUCAGCAGGUGGGAGUGAUGUGCAGGACUGUCUCUGACUGGGCCCACCGAGCCAUGUGUGCCCUGUCAUCACUCUGUUUUUCAUACACCCGGAGCUGUGAGCCCUGUUGUUGUUGUUGUUGUUGUUGUUAUUAUGGAGCCCAAUUCUCAAUUCAUACACCUACAUACACGCAGACAGACCUGCCACCAAGGAGGAGCAGAUGGAAAGCAGUGUGAAUGACUCCUAAUGAACAUCCGCGUGCUUCCUCGUGUCUCACAUAACGGCGAACAGACAAUUUGUUUAAAUGGAUUCGUGGGGAUUUCUUUUCCAUUUCAAUCAUUUCUGUCUGUUUCUCGAAAGCACCAAAGAAAUACUUGCAUUUAUUUAUUUUUUUUAAACUGAGUCACGAUGCAAUUUUGUUGGCUGGUGGGUGGUCUCGAACCCAGCAGGGUUGUGAUUCAUGGUUAAGUGUCUUUUAUUUGCACGGAUCUCAGUUGAUUUCACGCAAAGAAAUCUCUAUUCAGAAAAAGAUAAUCCAAAUUUAAUAUGAAUUCUCUUCACUUAUAAUGACUCCAGGACCCAUCGCGAAAAUCUGAUGUUUUUAAUAUCUUGAAAUCAGUAUCAAUGCAAACGGCUCAUGAAUAACCAGAGUUAUGACGACUGUCUUUUGUUUUGUUUAUUGAUCCCAUUUCACAGAACUACAUGAAGGUGGAAGGUGCACAUUUACUUAAGUAGCAAAACCACACUGUAAAAAAUGCUCUUAAGUCAACAUCUUACUGUAGUAAAAGUACUGACUAUGCAGAAUUAUUCAGUAUAAUAAAUGGUAUCUCAUUAUGCAUUAGCUUAAUCCAUAAUAAUCCAUUUAAUAUUUUUUAUUAAUCUGAAUGUACAAAGUAAUUAGUGACAAUACAAUAUUAGCUUCCAAAAUAAGUAGAAGUAGCAGAAAAACAGAGACACUCAAAGUACAAGUACCUCAGCACUUGAGUUAAAGUUUGGAUGAUCUCUCCCUUUUUAUCACUUUACAUUGAAAAAACACAUUUACUGCCAGACAAAUUCCUUCCUGAAAAUGCUUUUGUAUGCUCUGUCCCAACAUGCUGUGUUCAAAUAGAGGAUCUUUCUGUUUUGUUCCCUGCUUUUCUUCGCCGACGCCCUGCCUCCCUCCUCCGGUGCAACGUAGAAUACGUCUUCCUGAUAACGCAAGAACUCAGACUCGAUCCGCUGGCCGCAUAUCACGCCAUCGAAUUACUCCAAAGGUUCAUGGUCAAGCACCUUACAGGUCUGCUGACCACACCCACACCUGAAGGCGCUGGUGCUGCUGCUGCUCUAACAGAAAGUUCUGAGGAGGCUGUGUUGGAGAAGAUCAAGGACACGUUCCCCCUCAUCGUCUUCUCCUGCGUGCAACUCGCAAGCAAGCUGUCUUUGCACAGUCACAUGAUCGACAACAACACAGCCGUGCGCUUUCUGCAUUCGGUCGGCCUCAGUGUUUCCAAGCAGACUCUCCUGGACUCCGAGCUGAUGGUCUUGAAGGGGCUCGAAUUCAGACUAAACGCUCCUAACCCGCUGACGUAUGUGGAAAUCCUCCUGGAGGUGCUCGGACACAAUGAGCCAUCCAUCCCCGUGGAGCACCUGCAUCUACUGUGCCACCAGGUUCUCCAGUUCGUCAGCCUGCAGAGGACGGCCAUCUACGACUCCUUGUUGGUGACGACCACUCGGUGCGUCAGCCCGUCCAGAGAACACCGGUAUUACUUUUUUUAUCUUUUGAGCUACAUUUUUCAGAUAACAGAUAAUUAUCUGAUCAUUUUUUCUGGAACAGGUGAUUUCUGCCCGUGUGGGCAAACCUGCUUGACCGGCAGUCGAGUAGACUCCGACCAGCUGAGCACUGUCUCCAAAGUUUCCAUGAGCAAGACACUGAACCCCAAAUUGCUCCCGAUAUGCGGUCCAUGCAAGCUACGGCUUAAAGCUGUUGGUGAGGUCGUGUUAUUAGAAAUGCAAUAACAGAUUUUCUGGUCAAUUUUGAGACAGCGGAAACGACGCCUGCACCUUCUUUUUUAGAGUUGAUAUGGUGAACAGAGCAAAACAUUCCGCUCUCCUUUCCACCUCUGGUUUCUGAAAAGUGAUGCCAAUGCUGAAGUGUCUUAAAUGGCCAGCAGGGGGCGACUCCUGUUGCAAAAAAUAAGUCUGAUUGUUUAGAAGUCCAUGAAAAAAUGACUCUACCGCUCCCCUGAUUUAUUACCUCAGUGAACAUUGUAAACAGGGGUUCAUGGUCUCGAUCUCUAGUUUAAAGUCUUCUACGUCCACUUCUUAUACUGUCUUUUAGCUCUCUUUUUGGUUUUUGACCAAUUCCUGAGUGAAUAAUCCGACUCUUUGACUGCCGGCUGUCUCAAAACAACGACAACCGCAGAGUUGGACGAUGGGUAUUAACAUAGUUAAAUGUAGAAUAUUGAUAUUAAUCCUCUUUCAACAGGGAGACAUUUGUGACAGUGACUGAGGACUGCAUGCUUCUCGGUGUUGGUGUUAUCGCCGUGGCUACAUUCAUCCACUAUUUUAAAAAUUGGCAACAGGUAGUUGGAGAGCUGAGCCACAUCACAG